rnacentral:rRNA from 1 species
GACGAACGCUGGCGGCGUGCUUAACACAUGCAAGUCGAACGGCAAGGCCCUGCUUUUGUGGGGUGCUCGAGUGGCGAACGGGUGCGUAACACGUGAGUAACCUGCCCUUGACUUUGGGAUAACUUCAGGAAACUGGGGCUAAUACCGGAUAGGAGCUCCUGCUGCAUGGUGGGGGUUGGAAAGUCUCGGCGGUUGGGGAUGGACGCGCGGCUUAUGAGCUUGUUGGUGGGGGAGUGGCUUACCCAGGCUGUGGCCGGUAGCCGGCAUGGGAGGGUGACCGGGCACAAUGGGACUGAGAGACGGACCAGACUGGAACGGGAGGCAGCAGGGGGGAAUAUGGCACAAUGGGCGGACGCCUGAUGCAGCAACGCCGCGUGCGGGAUGACGGCCUUUGGGUUGUGAACCGCUUUCGCCUGUGACGAAGCGGGAGUGACGGUAAUGGGUAAAGAAGCACCGGCUAACUACGUG